rnacentral:rRNA from 1 species
GUGCCACAGUGAGUGUUUUUAAGGAGAGUUUCAUUAUCUUUGAUCCUUUAAGAUAUUAUAAAUAUUGACAUAGUAACAAUAUCUAUAGUGUGGAAAGUUAUUGUUCUUUUUAUUCCCGAAUGAGUAAAUAUAAUGUCCGAUGAUUUUUACGGCGCGAAGAAAAAUUCAGAAUACAUAAAUAUGAAAUAUUUAUAAUAUAUAUUUAAUCAAUUAUUUUGGUGAGUGUUUGUUUAAUUGAAUCGCCGUGAUUACCCUUUAAUGGGCCAGAUUCUAUGAAGGCUGCUAACAAUUUUAAAAAUAAUGCAAAUUUUUUUGAAUAAAAAAUGAUCGUGGUCAUAGUGUGUUGUCGGCCAAAAAAACAUGCUGACAUCAUGCAGGAUUGGAGCUCAAUGGAGGAGAAGUUAUGCUGGGAUGGGUCAUUUCCUGUCAUGACGAUCGGGCGCAGGAAAUGCUCGAAGGUCUUGAAAAGAAGUAUGGGCCGUUGGCGCAGUGUCGGGCGGUCAAUUUCUGGCGUGGGUUAAGCGUAAAUAUGCUCAGCCGCAUGAUGUGUGACGCCCUCCAUGCCACCGACUCCGGUGAAGGCGUGAUAUUUUUAACCGACAUUUCCGGCGCGGCGCCUUAUCGUGUAGCGUCGCUGAUGAGCCAUAAACAUUCUCAAUGUGAAGUUAUUUCCGGUGUUAGCUAUUCAUUGAUGGAGGAAAUGAUUACCUGGCGAGAGUCAAUGAGCAGUUCAGCAUUUCGCGACCAGAUUGUCGCGCUUGGCGCGCCGGAUGUCACCAGUCUCUGGCAUCAGCAGCAGAAAAAUCCGCCUUUUGUAUUGCUGCAUGAUUCGUAUGAGUUUUGAUCAAUACCAUUGACGACGCUUUUGCUACAAUGACGGCGUUUUUUCGCCUCGGUUAUGAUAUAUGGUUAUGCGCGUUGUUCUUAUCUUGCUGUUCUUUUUCGCCGGUAAUGUGUUGGCUGCCUUGCCCGCUCGUUAUAUGCAAACGACGAAAGAUGCCGCCAUCUGGUCGCAGAUUGGCGACAAAAUGGUGACCGUAGGGAAUAUCCGCGCCGGACAAAUUCUUUCCGUAACGCCUGUUGCGGCUGAUUAUUAUGCCUUUAAAUUCGGCUUCGGUGUGGGCUUUAUCGAUAAAGGCCAUCUGGAGUCCGUGCAGGGAAAACAAAAAGUGGAAGAUGGCCUGGGCGAUCUUAACAAGCCGCUCAGCAAUCAGAAUCUGGUGACCUGGAAGGACACGCCGGUGUAUAACGCGCCGGACAUCAGUAGCGCCCCGUUUGGCGUAUUGGUGGAUAAUUUGCGUUACCCCAUUAUUAGCAAGCUGAAAGGCCGGCUACAUCAAACCUGGUAUCAGAUCCGUAUUGGCGACAGGCUGGCUUAUGUCAGCGCCAUGGAUGCGCAGGAAGACAACGGCAUUCCGAUUUUGACCUAUCAUCACAUCUUACGUGAUGAAGAGAAUACUCGUUUUCGCCAUACGUCCACCACGACUUCGGUUCGGGCAUUCAGCAACCAAAUGACCUGGCUUCGCGAUCGCGGCUAUGCCA